rfam:Eremococcus coleocola ACS-139-V-Col8 contig00011, whole genome shotgun sequence.
ACUAUCUGUGUUAAACGACCGUAGACAGUAAGUGGCCCCGGCCUUAAUUUCUUACCGAGGAAGUUCCUAUAAUAAUCAGGAAUCUAUCUCUAUGUCUAAGGUGGCAUAGAGAUUUUUAUUUAUAAAA